rnacentral:rRNA from 1 species
CUACGGGUUGCUGCAGUGAGGAAUAUUGCACAAUGGGGGGAACCCUGAUGCAGCAACGCCGCGUGGAGGAUGACGCAUUUCAGUGUGUAAACUCCUUUUAUAUGCCAAGAAAAUGACGGUAGCAUAUGAAUAAGCACCGGCUAACUCCGUGCCAGCAGCCGCGGUAAUACGGAGGGUGCAAGCGUUACUCGGAAUCACUGGGCGUAAAGGACGCGUAGGCGGGUUGGAAAGUCAGGUGUGAAAUCCUACAGCUUAACUGUAGAGCUGCACUUGAAACUUCUAAUCUAGAGUAUGGGAGGGGGAGAUGGAAUUAGUGGUGUAGGGGUAAAAUCCGUAGAUAUCACUAGGAAUACCUAAAGCGAAGGCGAUCUCCUGGAACAUUACUGACGCUAAGGCGUGAAAGCGUGGGGAGCAAACAGGAUUAGAUACCCCAGUAGUC